CUUUCUUUUGCCUGAUUGCUGUGGCUAGAACUUCUAGCACGAUGUUGAAUAAAAAUGGGUUAAAUUGGAUGUUCUUUUUUGUUUUGUUGUGUUUUGUUUUGUUUUUUGUUUUUUUCCAGAUCUGAGAACAGUGACAAUCAGCCCUGACAAAAUGGUCAAGAAAUUAUGCAGUUCCUUAUGACUUGGUGUCCGGAGCCCAUAUCCUGGAGUCAAUGCUUUAAGGGAGAAAACUGUAAAAAAAUAGUUACAAUGGAUGGAGAUACACAGGAAAGGAAGACUUUAUUUAGGAAUAUUGCAAUGGAGGAGAGAGAUGGAACUUGAUAACCCUAAAGUAAAAGGAGCAGAGGAUGUCUGCCCAUUUUCUGAUAUCAUCUUCAAUUUCUCGAAAAGAAGACAUUAUGGGGCAGUAUUGGGAGGAAUUAAUAGUUCACGCUGACUAGAAAGUAGAAUGAAUAAAGAGGAAUAUGAAAUGUUGGAGCUGUGAUAAACAGGGAUCGACCUCGGGUCCUUGAGCUUGCUCAGCAGGUGGCGAAACCACUGAGCUAAAUCCCCGACCCUAGCACCAAUAACUUUUUUCAAAGCCUAGAACCCUGGAAGAGAGGAACCGAGAUUUUCCAACCACUGGAUCUUGGAAGGCGACCCUAAGAAAACGUACUUCAACUGACAACUUCAUGGAACUAUGGGAGAGGAAGAUCAGCUAAGCCAUACCUGAGGGUGAUCUGACAAUUGAAACACCAGAUGUGGAAAUCAGCUUCUUUGGAUAUUUCCUAUUAGGUUGGUUUAAUUUCCCACAGAAGAUUCUUGCAACUUCUUGCCAGGAGAGUAAUGACCGGGUUGCCCUUGUUCUGGAGCCAAGCAGAAGAAUUAUCCUGGAGGAUCCAAGCAUGCAACAUACCAAAGUGUACAAUGAGGGAUCGAACUUGAGUCCUUGCCUUUGUGCAGCAGGCAACAAAACCACUGAGAGGAGACCACUGAGAUUCAGGGCUUCAUGAAGGCAGCACAACUGCUGGAUAGAGGCUCAAAGUGAGAGAAGGAGAUGUCAAAGUGGGAACCAGGACCCAAGAUUCUAUACCACCACCUACUGUCUCCUCUGAAACUUGCUUCUAUCUAAUGAGAAAAAAGACUGUACUUGCUAAGACCUCAGUCCUAACUGAUUUAUGGAAUGGAGUCCACAAACACUUAUUUGCUACACAGACCACCCCAUUCUGGUCAAUUGGCCUCUGAAGAGUAGAGAGAGCCCCAUGCAGAACCCUGUGUUGAAUUUCUACCAUUGUCCCUGAGAAGAGAAAGGUAAUAAUGCUGAGAAAACUAGACCCAGGAAAUGAAUCAUUGUUGGCAUGACCCAGAGACAACUGAAUUAAACCUCCCAAGACCCCAAAUGACUCUUCAGUGCAGUCAAAACAAGAUACCAGCGGAACUGGCAGCAGCUGGACUCAGAUUCUUGGCACAUCAUAGAUGCACCAUCAGCCCUUUGGCUACACUGUACAUCACUUGCAAGCAAGAAAACUCAGCCAGUGAUAUUUGGCGUACUGAACUUGAUGGAGCCACGUGAUAUGGGAAACCCGAUUUUGGCCAUUGGGAGCUGUCCAUUAACUGGGUUACAUGGCAUAACUCCUGAGAAUAACUCAGAUAGAAAAGAACCAAAAAAGACUGGUUUAACUGCUGGAGACUUGGCAAUCACAGAAGAAUUUCCCCUUGGAAAGGGCAAGAAGCACUCAGACCUGGAAGGAAAUGUUAAUUUCAUAUGGAGAAACCUGAGUAAACCAGUGCUUUGGGAAUAAGCAGUUAAAAGACAACGCAUUGUGAGACCUAAAGUCACAGUUGGUAAUUCAGGUUAUCUGGCCUCUUCCUCUACUUUACAUACCAGGAAACUGACCUCUCAAGAGGUGAAGUGCUGUAAUCAAGGCCCCCUGGAUUAUCAACCUGGAUCAGAACCUAGGUGAGAAGAACCUCUGACCCAAAAUGGUCUCAACAGAGUCCUUGGCUUUUUUCUUAAGGAUGGUGAAGUCGUUUCUUGGAUUGGAGCCAGCAGAGGAUAGCUCACUACUUACUUAAGUGACAGCACUUCAGGACACCAGUGUUCUGGAGUUUUAGCAUGCCAGAGGAGUAACAAGGAGUAAGAAUAAUCAAUCAUUGCUCAGAUCAUCUAAAUGAUUCCCAGGAAACAAAAGACCAGGCAGGACUGUGCUUAAUUCAUACUAGAUUCUCAAAAUAUUUCUCUGUGUGUUCUGGAAUCUUUUAAUGCUGUCUCAUAUAUUUCCCUAGCUUUGGAGGAAAGCUGAGGGUUUUUUUCUAAAGAUUGAUUCACUGUCAGGGAGACUUCAUUAAAUCAUAU
rnacentral:lncRNA from 1 species